rnacentral:rRNA from 1 species
UACGAAAGGAGCAGGUGUUAUUCAGAUUAACUGGGCGUAAAGGGCACGUAGGUGGUUUGUUAUGUGUACUAUUAAAUUAUAAAGCAUAACUUUAUAACGUAGUGUAGACAACUAAACUAGAGUUAAGUAGAGAGUAGUAGAAUUUCUAAUGUAAAGGUGAAAUUUGAUAAAAUUAGAGAGAAUACCAAUGGCGAAGGCAACUACUUGGGCUUUAACUGACACUGAGGUGCGAAGGUGUGGGGAGCAAAUAGGAUUAGAUACCCUAGUAGUCCAUACAGUAAACGAUGAAUAUUAAGUGUUGGAACAAAUUUCAGCAUUACAGCUAACGCGUUAAAUAUUCCGCCUGGGGAGUACAACCGCAAGGUUGAA